ensembl:lncRNA
CUUUCAGAUUUACAAGAUUGAGGAAGGACUAACAAUCAAGGCAUUGUUUUCUCCAGCCUCAGUUUUAAUCCACAGAAAACCUCCGCUACCCCUAAAUAUUAAUGAGAAUCACCCCUCUGGAGAUCCAAGCACUUCAGUUCCACAGCAGUGAUCCACAACCUAAGAUGUUUCUCUCCUUAUUCCUAACAAGGAAAUAAAAAAGCAUUAAAAUUUUCUUAUUACCAAAAGGAGGUUCAUCAUACAGUAAAAAAACAAAGCAAAGAGAUGGACCUUGGCCAGGAUGGAACUUGCACUCUGCUUGAUGCAGCAACCUGCUGACCUGUUUACUUCAUCUCAGAAACAAUUAAUCAGCUGGAUACGCAGGAUGCCCUGAAAAAACUGAUUAGAGGUUCUGGAAACAACUGUGAUUAUUUUUCUGAGGAAAAUGAAUCAAUAAGCUGGAGGAAACCAUCGUGUAGGACAAAAAGGUCUUGAGAGGAGUGAUGAUCUUCCUGUUGACUUUUGUGUGGGAAACAGACACAAAGUGAAAGAUCCUGAAUAUAGACAUGAAGUUGGAUUAAGAACCUAAAAAACAGCACAAGAUGAGAGAACCCCAUCCAAAAGCCAAAGCAGGGUUAUAGACUAUUUCUAUGUCAACAGGUACUGUCAAGCCCAAUGAAGUCCCAGGUUUGCAGGCAACCUCAAGAGAUGCUGAAAUAUCUGAGCACACUGAUAGUUCUGAAAGUACAUUCUGCAGGUAGGGUAGCACCACAAAUGCAAAAUCUUAGAUGUAUGGCUUCCAAAUCAGUAAAGCUAAACUACUGUGAAGCAUUUUGAAAUUUCACACCUUUCUUUCUUUCAUAAAAGGGGAAAAAAAUGUGGAAAUCCUACAACUUCUCAGAAGUGAAUAUAUAUAUGUACAUAUAUAUCGCAAAACUUAGUAUAUCCACUCUCCAAAAUAAGACAAGCUAUUUCUCAAAUAUUGAUAUUAUAUGAAUUAUUUGCUUGAGUUCAUCUUUUUGCUGAAUAUUUUUGUUCCAGAGGAAUGGUGAUUUUACAGUGAAGAACACAUUAUGUGACCAUGAUUUCUGCCCUAGAUGGUGCAGGAUAUUCGUGAGACAACUGAAGUUUAAUGGAAUAACGCACAUAAAAAUAUUUUAGUCUGUUAAUGUGAAGCAUAUUCAUGAUGCUCUAAGGAAUUUGAAACAAUUGUUAGAUUUUUCACAUUGAAAAUAUACUUGUUACUGUGUUGUAUAUCCAUUGAAUAUUCUAAUUUUUCACAAACUGCCUUGUCCAUUAUCUAAUUUCUGUAACAAUCUGUCGGUAGAAGUUACAAUAAUACAAAUAUCAGAUCUACUUUGGCUAUAAAAAUAAUUAUUGUCUUAUUUAUUUGUGUUAGAAUUUAAUGCUUUAAGGAUGAAACAUAGGAGCAAUUGCUUUCUAACGUCACUGCAUACCAGUAACAUUCCAAAGUCUUUUACAGCUUAUAAUCCCUACUGAAGCAAUUAGUUUACUAAUAAUACUGAAGCAAUAAGUUACAGUAUCUACCUACAGAAACCAAUAUGAAUACAACUGCUUUAUGAUGUAGAGAAUCAUAACCUAGACAAGCAGAUCAUCUAAGUAGAUUCAGUUCUGAGGGUCAUAGGCAGUAUUUUCGAGAGCAUGCAAGUCCUUUAGGAGCUUCAGGCUGGAAAUAUUUUCUAAAAUUGAAUUCCUGAAUCAUACAGAUGUGUUUAAGUAAAUUUGCUUUAUUAUUCAAGACAUGCAUCCUGACGUAUGUUUUGCCUUCAAAUAUGUUCAAACAAAAUUUAAAUAUCAAUAAACAAUUCAUGGGAUGGAAAAGCGGGGUUUACAUUUUAACCUGCUUAAGGUUCUAGAAAAACUAGUUAGGGAUUUCUUAGCAGUCUCUAAAUAGCAGUAUGUGUUGAUGUCCAUUGAGACCACUCAAGAGUAUUUUGCUAAAGUGUUAUAAUCUAACCUCAGCAAUUUUUCUGUGGAAACAGAGUUUGGACUGGCAUACCCAAAUGUGUUGUUUUAUACAUAAAUCUGAUUUAUGACUGAAAUUGUUCUAACCUACACAUUCUACUGAUGGCUAGUUUGUUCCUCCAGUAAAUUAACCUGU